CUCCCCAUUGUACUGGCGAUAGAACCAAUGAAAACUGAAUUAUCUAAUCCGUGUAUUAUUGAAUGCAAAAUAAAAAAAAAAAAUCUGACACAUUUGUUGGUAAAACAUAAUGAUAUUAACGCGAUUAUUUUUGUCUCGUGGAGUUUUAUCUGAUGUUCCGUUGGAUUAUAAAACCGAAUCGAACGGCGGCGAAGGCGAUGAAAUAUCCCAACGAGAAUCGACGGCUGGUUAUUAAAAAGUUACAAUUAUUAAAUUGUCGUCCGACGUC